UUAACAAUCCGGAACAAGCUGAAAAUUGAAACGACGUGUCGUGUUCAUUCUCCGUAAUCAGAAUGAAGCCACGAUAUGUUCGAGUCUCUCAAAUACUUGCACCCGAAAGGUCCUCUUACUCAGGUUGAGUAAUGAGCGAGCUAAGUGAAGGCAAGGCGUCAGCGCGCAGCAACGCGGAGUGGACUUGAGUCCAUGAGCAUUGCGAGCACUGCAUAACGCCGCCGUCACGACGCGCAGCCAUUUACGUGAACCGGAGAGGGACGCUUGUGGGUUGUGAGGUUAAGCGACUAAGCGUACACGGUGGAUGCCCAGGCAGUCAGAGGCGAUGAAGGGCGUGCUAAUCUGCGAUAAGCGUCGGUAAGGUGAUAUGAACCGCAACAACCGACGAUACCCGAAUGGGGAAACCCAGUGCAAUCCGUUGCACUAUCAUGUCAUGAAUACAUAGUGGCAUGAGGCGAACCGGGGGAACUGAAACAUCUAAGGUACC
rnacentral:misc_RNA from 1 species